GUUGCUUUGGCUGAGUGGUUAAGGCGUGUGCCUGCUAAGUACAUGGGGUUUCCCGCGAGAGUUGAAUCUCUCAGGCAACG
rfam:Ipomoea nil DNA, scaffold: scaffold1525, cultivar: Tokyo-kokei standard.